rnacentral:tRNA from 1 species
GGAGGUGUGGCAGAGUCUGGCUAAAUGCACUGGUCUUGAAAACCAGCAGGGGUUCGCGCCCCUCGUAGGUUCGAAUCCUACCGCCUCCG